CUUUAUCUCUUCCUGCCUUUUGAUGAGAAAAUGGUUUAAUUGAGCCUUUUUCAAAACUUAUUUCAGUCAUCAGAGUAGGUUUUGCAAAUCCAGCCAGUGGUGUAGUUGUUGGUUUGAACACAGCUUGAGCUUUGUCAGAGACUGUGUCUUUCUUUGCUUCCUUAUUGACUUGAGCUGUGUCAGAGGUCAAUCUUUCUUUUU
rnacentral:lncRNA from 1 species